UGACUUGGGCGCUGGAGCCUUCCUCUGCCCUUUGUGACGUAGCGCUGGGGUCCGCUCCCUUGCUACUGUGCGGAGUGGGGGCGCUGCGGCGGGCACAGUUGGGCCGGGCUCUCCCUGCGCUCCCGCCACCCUUGCCUGGCCGGGGGACUGCAGUGCAAGCCCUGCUGCAGGCCAGGCCUGUUCUGAGGACGGUGUCAGGGCUGGGGGUUGAGGUCUUCCUGCCUGGCAUGCUGCUUGCUACGGAUGCUGCUGUGCUGCCUCACACCAGCCUCUGGGGCCAGGGUUUAGGGCCCAGAGAUCACCGCCCUUUUUACCCUUAAGGGUGCCCAUGCCCUCCUCUGCAUGAGGCUUGUGAAUCUGUGAGACCUUAGCCACAAGGCUCUCUACCACCUUAGGCUGGAAGUCACUCUCCUAGGACUAGGUCCCCACUUAAGACAUCAGCUCUUCGUUUUCUCCCCAUUUCUGUUGGGGGGAACAGCCGAGCCAUUCUUCUGUGGCAAAGAGCUCUGGAAACCCCCAGUGGGGCAGGGCAAUUUGAAUUUGGGAUUCCCAUGUGAUGUAUGCAAGAUGUACGCUUUUUCUAAUUCUAUCUAGCUAAAUGCAUGAAGCAGUUUGCUGACGCUGGGCAGGGUGUGGUGUAUGUAAGAUAAGAAGAGAUUGCUUGCUGAGAAAAGAUGCCACAUAGGCAAGUACGGGCAUGUUCUGUGGCUAAGGUAAUGUGCGCAUGGGCUAAAAGAAGCAACCAAUAGUAACUGCACAGCGUAUUGGGUGAGAGAAAACUAUAUAAGGCUAAUGCCAACUAGGUUGGGUGGGUGCUUGCUUUGCGAACCAUUGCCAAGUACCCCCUUUCUGCGCAGACUUGGAAUAAUAAAGAUUAAGUUGGAUCCUCCACCCCUGUGUGUUUAUUGGCAAAAGCGCACCGGGCACGAACUCACUGUCUUUGCAGACAACAAUUUGGCGACCCAGAUGGGACCUCACUAACCGCCUUGCCCGGUCCACCUCCUCGGCUCUGGCAACGGCUGCGGACGGCGCGAGGACCAGGCGCCACCGACCCUUUUCGUCUGAGGUCUGACCAUCUCCUGGUUGUUUGACGGGGCCAUGGAGGGGCACAACGGCGCAACGCUCGGAGGACCAACUUAAUCCGACGGGACGAGGGAAGUCUCAACGGACUGAUGAUCUUCUGCAUACAGCACUGAUGGUACUUCAACAACUUUAGAUGUCUCCUGUAUGUUGCCCAUGUCUCAGCUCUGUACAGCAAGCUGAGAUGCAAAGAAACCCAAUGAGGCAGAUUCUGCUCUUGUUUACACCAACACAUUGUUUGGAAUAACUCCACUGAAGAUAGAGCUGAAUCGUGUGGACUCACACUGGCAUGGCACUGGUCUAAUCCCAUCAACACUGAUCAAAUGGUCAAGCAUCAGCUGGAAGGAGUCCAACUCAUUGAUUUAUGCUGUUGAAUUUGGUCUGUAGAUAUGCUGGUCACAGGAUAGAGAAAAAAGAAGAUGAGCAUAUAUUGGGAUGUGGCUGUUUUAUGUUCCAGGUAAUGUUACAAUUUUUGCUUAAUUUAUCACACUUCUGGGUAUAGACUCUGAGCUUUAGAACAGUGGUGCUCAUCCUUCAGCCCGCGGGCCAAAUCUGACCCAUGAAGCCAUGUCCACCUUGUGAGGUUCCCCCUGGGUCCAGACAUUUGGUGGUGAGAGUGUGAAGGCAGACUUAAUUGCUGCUCCCCUGCUGCCAGGGGGCCAAAAGUUUGGGUACCACCAUUUUAAAUUAAGGCAUUUUUAAAUAAAUCAAAAUAAAGAAAUGCUAAAUUCCUUGCAGAAUAUUAUUUGGGAUUGAACUUUGUUUGCAGCUGAAGGCUGGACUAAAACCAUACCUGUGAACACACCCAAACUUGGAAAUGUUAGGGUCUGGAUGCAAACGUUUGUUUUGUUUAUUCACUAAUAUUUACUGGCAAGACACUUACUUUCUCAGCAGUCUGAAGCUUCUCUUGUAAAAAAACCCCACAAAAACACACAUAUUUUUACAUGGUGGUGAUGAAGAAGGCACAUUUUUAUGUGCAAUACUUUAGGGAAGAAACUUGAUGGCCUUAGAACACCCUAAUAUAACAGCUGUUUCAGCAGGUCAUGCUUAAACCUCACCUGUUGUGGUUGGUAGAGAUUGAACAUGCUAUGGUUGCAGAGAGAUGCUUGAGUUCUAGAGAGAAGCAUAGGGCCCAUUCAUUCUAUAGCUCAUUAGUGACCAACAUAUGGACAGCAUUACUGUUGAUGUUGGAAGAGGACAUAUGAUUGGCUAACAAAUAUGUAGUAAAGAGGUACAGUAAUGACCAUCUUGCAGAAGGGAUAAGCAGAUGGUGGUGGGAGUGGGGGGUGACCAUAGUGGUAAUGUAGGCUGAUAUUGCUGAUUCAUAGCCUCCCAUUAUGUUUUGUAAACUGCCAAGAGUUUUUCAUAAAAUAAAUAUCCAGAAGAGAUGACAACUUUGUCUCAUCAAAAUUGUCCAAUCAAAACAAAUUUACAGGAGCUUAUAUGUAAAUGGUAUUAAGAUUUUGGCACUUUACUAUGUUUCUAAUCAACCCAAUAACCUUGAAACCUCCUAUGAGCCAUUCUUUCAAUCUAUGUUUAUUUCAUGACAUUUAUUUCAUCCCAUUCUGCAAUUUCUUUGAAGUUUUACGUGAUAUCUUUAUAGGCUACAAUGACAGCUUGACACCUUUUCCUCACUGUAGACAAGUUAUAAUUUAACCAAGAGUAGGAUUCUGUACCACAUGUACCUUUUUAGUAGCCAGUAGAGAUUAACAGAACAAAGAGUUUAUUACUACUCCACUCAUUCCUUCAACAUGCCCUUGGAGGAUAUUCUGCACCCUGGAAUGCUGGUAAAAAAUCUUAACCCUUGGACGAGGGGUGUAGGGGUGGAUGUCCUCUUCCUGGACUUUAAGAAGGCCUUGAACACGAUUUCCCCCCACAUUCUCUUAAAAAAACAUGGUGACUGUGGUAUUGAUGCCUACACAGUCAAAUGGGUGGCAAAUUGGUUCGAUGGUCACACCCAGAGAGUGGUGGUGGAUGGGUCCUUUUCGACCUGGAGGGAUGUGGGCAGUGGAGUCCCCAAGGGCUCGGUCCUGGGGCCUGUACCAUUCAAUAUCUUUAUCAGCGAUCUGGAUGUAGGUGAGGAAAGCAUGCUGUCCAAAUUUGCUAACAACACCAAGAUGUGGAGUGAGCUGGGCACGCUGGAGGGGAGAGACAGAAUCCAGCUAGAUCUAGACAGAUUACAGAAGUGGGUGGAUGGGAAUAGGAUGGAAAUCAACACAGACAAGUGCAAGGUGCUGCUUCUAGGGAGAAGAAACCAGCAACACACCUAUAGGCUGGGGAAUACCCUUCUUGUCAACACAGUGGCAGAAAGGGAUCUUGGAGUCAUUGUGGACUCCAGGAUGAGCAUGAGCUGCCAAUGCAAGGAAGCAGUCAGUAAGGCUAGCCACAAAUUGUCUGCAUCUACAGAUGUAUCACAAGGAGGUCCAAGGAGGUGAUCCUUCCCCUCUAAGCGGCGUUGGUCAGGCCGCAGUUGGAGUACUGCGUCUAGUUCUAGGCGCUGCACUUCAAGAGGGAUGUGGCUAGCAUCGAGAGGGUCCAGAGGAGGGCCACUCACAUGGUUAGGGGACAGCAGGACAGGUCCUAUGAAGAGAGACUAAAGGGCCUGAACCUAUUCAGCCUCUGCAAGAGAAGGCUGAGAGGGGAUCUGGUGGCUGUUUACAAACUCACCAGGGCGGACCAGUGGAAAUUGGGGGAGGCUCUGUUCCCCCGGGCACCACCCGGGGUUACUAGGAAUAACGUCCACAAAUUGUUAGAGAGAAGGUUCAGGCUGGACAUCAGGAGACAUUACAGUUAGGGCUGCCAGGCUCUGGAAUGGGCUCCCGAGUGAGGUGGUGCUCUCUCCUACCUUGGGGGUCUUCAAGAGGAGGCUGGACAGAUAUUUGGCUAGGGUGAUAUGACCCUGGCAUCCAUUCCUGCCCAGGGCAGGGGUUGGACCUGAUGAUCUGUUUAGGUCCCUUCUGACCCUAAAUACUAUGAUCUUCCCCUCCAGCUUUCUGUGGAGAUCAAGGACAGAGCCCUGUGGAUACAUUCUCUUCUCCCUCUAUACAUUAUCUCUGGGUAAUCUUAUCUGCAAACACAAAUUCAACUUCCAUCUUUAUGCUGACAACUCACAGAUCUACUUGUCUCCUCCAGACAUCUCCUGCUGUCCUAACUUAAUAUUACCUCUCUUUGGGUCAUGUUUUUGGAAGGUGUGCCACAAAUUAAGCCUUGUACCCUCUCUGAGUGCCUGAUCUAGUGCUCCCCUUUCUGCUUGCUGCCCAGUACAGUACUCCCCACCCUAUCAGUGCAAGGAGCAGAAAGCAGAGCAGCAAUCUGCCACUGUGCUGCCUGUCCUCUCCCUAAUCUGCCACUUGCCACACACAGAACCUGCCUGUGCCACUUGCGGCACUGAUGCCACAGGUUGGCCGCCCCUUCUCUAGGUAGUCACACCUAUGCGGUGUCUAAAUCUUUCAAGCUCCUUCUGAAUUAGAUCUCAUUCCUAUCCAAAAGGAUAAAAUUUCCAUGCAGGCAAUCAUCUUACAUCUUGAUUGCUGCUAAAGUAUCCACUUUAAGUAGCCAUUAAAAUGAUUCUAAUGAGCAAAUAUAAUUUUGGUGUAAUUCAUUUAUCAAAUUAUUUUAUUUGUUAAUUUAUUUAUGCUGCAAAAGGAAAUAAUAACAUGGAGAGAAUUAGAUUAGAUAAGAAGCUUGUAGUUCAGCCUUGCACUUUAAAGGGAUUCCUUUAAUUGCAAUGAAGUCCAGAUUGACCUUGAAGACAGUCUUUGAGAGCCCUUUGACUUUAGAGGGGUUGGAAGUCAGUAACAUUUAGCCUUAUAUAUAUUUUUUUUUUUUGCUAUCCAAACAAGGAUUUUAGUUUGCCAAAGAAGAAAAAAAUACUACGUUUCAGAAGCUAUUACCACUAUAGAUUUUGCUCUUUUAAUAUUUUUCUCAGACAUGCUGCAGUCCAGGCAAUGUAAAUCAAUCCAAAACAGAGAAAUAAAGCAAUCAAAUUUUACAGGUGUAAUAUUUCAUUUUAAUUAACAGAGUUUGACUGUUAAUGAGUCACAGGCUGUUUUUAUACAUUUGUCAAGUUUUCAUGGAGAAAUAUAAAAUUUAAAGUACUUUUACUAUUAAUCUUAGGUUUAAUCAUAAUUAGAGUUUGCUAACAUAGUCAAAGAGUGACAUCAGAUCCAAAAAACAUGUACUUGGGGAACAAAUUUAGACAAAAUGAGAAAAAUGGGUUGUAAUAGCACAAUGACACUGUUUUUGAUGAGGAAACUUUUACAGCUUGAGUUGCUGUUGUAAGACUUAAAAAGUUUUUAUUUUCCAUUAUUAAAACCACUGGCUCAGUGAUGUUACUUAAUCAAACACUUUGUUACUGGAUAUGUAUAUAUGCUUUUGGUUAUUUCAGUCAUGCGUGUCUUUUUCAAUCUAAACUUUUGAGAGUACUAUUGUUCUGUGAUACUCACAAAUACCCCAAAUUACUGUAUUUUAAAAAGUGAACAGGAUAUCUAUAUUUAUAAAUAUAAUUACUUUUCUUACAGUCACAUGGUAGUGAGCAGCUGGGAAGAAAUGUUGCUGAUACUUUUCUAUCAGGUCAUCACCCUUAAAAUAAAUAUGUUGUUCCCUUUUGAUAUUAGAAAUAUGUUUGCCAAAGAAAAUAAGAUGGCUCUAGGUACCAGCCUUCUGGAAAAUUCUUGGCUAGUGUUUUAUUAAUUGUAUUAUUAAUUUAUUUCAGAUAGCGCUACCAUAGGAUCAGUAUUUUCCAAACAAAACAAUGGGUAGCUGGUACUUUUAUAAAUAAAAGGGACAUGCUUGAUCUGAGAGUAAAUGAGUUAAAAGGAACAGAGGAGCAAAUUAUUCCAUUUUCACAGUAGUAUAACAUUGGCUAGGCAAGUGGGGCAUGAAUCCUUGGCGCUGCCUAAUGGGGAAGGGUGCUGGAAUGGAGCUGGGGGGAGGAGGGAGGGGAGCCUCCUUGAAGUAGCUCUGGCUCCAGAAGCAGCAGUGGCACAUGAUGCCCUGGGUGGUGGCAGUGCACAGUGCAGGACCAGUGGCCAGAGGUUUGCUGUGCUGGGGGCAAAAUCACCUCCUUUUUUUGCCAUUGAAAAUUGUUGCUUAAAUGGCCACUUGUCACACAUGCCACUUUUUUUUGCCACUGACAUCUUCCUCCAUGGCAGUGAACUGGAGCUGAUGCUGCUUUAGGAAAGGGCAGGGUAUGGGAGAACUGGCCAGUUAUGCCUCUUCAUUUUCACUGUCACUUUUUAGAACAGAACUGUAUUUUAAGAGACAAAUCUGCUGUUGUUGUUGGCAGUCCCUCAACCCAAAGAUAGUCUGCUAGUAGAUAGGAAAAUCAUCAUUCAUUUCAGGGAUGACUGAAGAGGCCAGUCUGAGAUCUGUGCAUUUGACUGCAGUCAUGGCAUACAUUUCCAGAAGGAAGGAGUGGAUUCUGGUGAUGUCCGGUCACAGUUCUUUCCCUUUGCGUCUCUUGCUGACAUUCAUUUUUCUGUCCUUCCAGCUGAUAUGGAGGGAUUUUCUGAAGACAUCACUGAUGGUAAAAUUCCAAGUCUUUCAGGUGUUUCUGAUAAGUUGUCCAGGCAUCGUUUACUCAAUGACAACAGUCUGGUAGAUGAGAAAUUUGUUUUGGAUCCUGAUGUCAUGAUCAUCAAAGAGAUGAUUUCUGAGAUGUCCAAAGGCAGCACUGGCAGAUUUUAUUCAGUGUUGAAUAUUAUCUAUGUUUACCUUUUUGGGAAAGGUGACUACCCAGGUAGGAGAGAUGCUCAACAUUCUCCAAGGACUGCCCUCUAAGUGUAAUAUGUGGGCAACAGCUGAAUGGUUUGUGGUAGGUUGAUAAAGUACCUUCGUUUUACAUGAAGUUGAUGGUGAGUCCAAGUAUUUCAUAUGCUUUACAGAAGUGGUCAAACGUGACCUGGAUCUCUUCAAUUGAAUAGGUACACACAACACAGUCAUCAGUUUACUGAAGAUCAGUAAAGGAGGAGUUGGUUAGCUUGGAUUUGGAGCCUAACUGGUUGAUGUUAAAGAGAUUCCCUUCCCUGCAAUACAGGAUGCUGACUCCAAAGGGAAGCUGUUAGCAAUACGAUGUGGAAUAGCUGCAAUAUAGAUGGAAAAAAGCAUUGAUGUAAUCACACAUCCUUGCUUGGUGCUAGUUCUAAUGGUGAAAGGGGUCUAUUUCUGAGCCAUUGCUUAGGACAGUUGCUGUCAUGUCACCAUAAAGAAGUCUGAGGAUGGUAACAAAUUUUGGUAGGCAUCCAAAUCUCAUUAGGAUCUUCCAUAAUGCCUCUCUGUUGAUUGAAUCAAAGGCCUUAGUCAAGUCAAUGAAGGCUGUGUAAAGAACACUGUUGCCCAUGGCACUUUUCUUGCAGCUAUAUAGCCACAAAGAUCAUAACCAUCGUCUUCUGAAUGGCCUGAAACCAUAUUGUAACACAGGUAGAAUUUCCUUGGCAAGGGGAGUAAGUCUACUGAGGAGAAUGUGGGCAAGGAUCUUCCCAGCUAUAGACAGAAGUGCAAUGUCACAGUAAUUGCUGCAAUCCAGUUUAUCACUUUUUUUUUAAAUAUGGUUAUGAUACUGGCAUCUCUCAAGUCACUGAGAAUCUGUUGAUGGUUUACAGAGUAAUGGUAAGUAGUUGAUGAGAGAGCUUUUUUCUACCACGCUUAUACAUUUCAGCUGGUAAUCCAUUAGGAGCAUGUUUUGUUGUUUUUCAUCAUCUCAAGGUUGGUGGAUCUGCAAAGUAGUCUUUAAUGGGGUGUUGUGGAAUGGCCUUGCUGGAGCAUGGCUUGCUAUGGCCACUGAUUAGUACAUGUAGAAAUGGUACAGAGGUCUGAUAACACCAUGAACCAACGUAAGUUUCAGUAAUAGUUUGAACCAGAGACCUUGGUGUCUGGACAGCUGAGCACAUAUGGCCUAACUGGAAACACUGAGAAAAUUAGGAGUAUUAAUUUAUAGGCCCCUCAGCUGGCCAAUAGAUGAAACACAAGGGAUAAGAUGGGAAAUCAUCAUUGGCAUCCAUUGGCCUUGGGAGACCAUGGGGAUUGCACAUUUGGUAGGAUACCAAGUACCACCACAGUUUCUUGAGUGGCUGAGGAGUCCAGCGCACAGUAGGCAGACCAUCUGACAAGUUGCACAUACAAACUUGGUUGAGCUUGCACUGGCAUGCUGAGUACUGUUUUGUCUUGCCUGCCUCUGACGUCUCUUCUCUAGCUCCUCAUUGACCCCUCCAUCGUGAAGCAAUGUAAGCUCUGUUUCACGGUGGCUUUCCACUCGCAGCAGUCUGAACUCAGUUGGAGCAUGGCCAUCGAUGCACGCUCAUGCAGGUUUUUCUUGCAGACAUCAAUGAAACGGAGUUUGGGCCAUCCAAGUUCACAUUUGCCAGUGACCAGCUCACCGUAGAGAAUGUCCUUGGGGAUUCAUCUAUUGUUUAUACGGUUCACGUGUCCUAACCAAUGAAGGCAUCUCUGUCUCAGGAGCAUGAACAUAUGGGAUAUCUUGGCCCAUUCCAGAACAGCAAAGUUGGAGAUUUUGUCACACCAUGUUAUUCCCAGGAUACAGCUGACCCAUCAAAGAUGGAAACUGUUCAGUUUCUUUCUUCCAUAGCAUAAGGAGUUGUUGUUUCACUGCCAUACAAUAUAGAGCUAAGUAUGCAAGCACUGUCAAUGGACAUCUUUGUUGACAGAGUGAGCACUCUGUUUUUCCAAACUCUCUUUUGAAGUUUAGCCAUGGCAUUGCUUGCCUUUCUGAUGUGAGCAUUAAUUUCUGCUUCCAAGACAAGACUUUGCAAGAUGGUGGAGCCCAAGUAAGUUAAUUUUUCAACUACUUCCAGGCUUUCAUCAUUUAUUCUAACUUUGAGAGGGUGGUCAACUUGUUGUUAGCCUAAAGAAGAAUAGUCAUGGGUUAAUCAGACCGAAACCAUCACAAAUACAAGAAAGCCGAUCCAUAAGACUUUGCAGUCCUUCAUCUGAAUGACUUACAAUUGCUGCAUCAUCGGCAAACAGGUUUUUGUUUUCACUUUGGGAUGAGGUGAAGUUAAAGAGUUUCCCAUCGGAUCUGGUCUGAAGCUAUACUGCUUCUGAAUAGUGACUGAAUGCAUAUGGACAGUGAAGAAAAUCCCCAAAAACCAUCAGAGCCAGGACACAGCUCUGCUUCAGACUACUCUUGAUUUCAAAUUCUUCCAAAUAUGACCCAUCAAACUGCACUGUUCCACACAUAGCAUCGUGAUGAUAAGAUGGGUACAGGAUACCAAAACAGAGCUAACUGGUAGAAAAGUUGCAAUAUGUAAUGACUGUGAAUGUCACCUAAACACAUUUAGUGAUUGGUGGAACUAGGAGGUAUAUGUUGUAAGUAUAAAGUUAUUUUGAUCAAUGUUUAAAAGGGGCCUGGGAAACCUGAAUAUUUUGCACUGAGCUAGGGACCAUAUUUUAUACCGGUGCCUUGCCUUACACAUGAACUUUGCUGGGGCCAUGCCUGAAUGAGUGUGAUGUUAGUGUUUGGUAGUUUGUGAACAAUAAGCCCAGAGCCUGUGGUCUCUAUUGCGGCUAACAAGGGCAUUGAAGUAGUAGCAACCUAGUAUCCCCAACAGUAUCCUGAAGGAGUCCUAGCUGACCAUCCCAACUGAUGAAGCUUGAUAUAACCAGUACAACACCAUCCUGACUGUACCUGAUAAGAAUCAGAUUGUGAACCAAAAUAUCCUCUUCAUCUUUACCUUCUUUUACAUUUAAAUCAUGCCAUUUAGCUACUCCUCUGUGUAAGGGGGUUAGUAUAGAGCCAAAAUGGUCACAGGGGCUCACUGGAAGCUUAGUGCCUCUGUAACAUAAUGUUUCCAUGACUUAUUCUGCAUACAGAAAUAUCUGACCAGCUACUAAUACUCAUUGGCAGGAUUCAGUGCCAAUUAGGGAGGUUUACUGAGCAGUAAGCAUGUGUGCAUGUGGACGCACAUGCUUACUUUGCAGUAAACUAUGCUAAUGCAAAGUUAAACGUCUUGUGUAGAUGUGCCCAGUGUCUUGCUCACUGGACUCUGUUGCUUUAGGCUAGCAGGGAGCAGAAUACACCCUUUUCAUAAUUUUACAUUAUGCUUCAGAAAGACACAGGCUGACUUUGAGCAGUCUGGGUCAGCCAAUCAGGGCUGCUUCAUGUACUGCUGCUCUCUGUCUCCAGGCAGACUGAGGGAGUCUGCAGAGUAUACUGAGAUGUGCGCACAAGAAACCCCUGGUGGAGCAGCAUCAGCACUGCAAGCUUUCUGCUCUUCAAGGAUUCAACAUUUGAAUGUCUGUUCAGGUGUCUCCAGGAAUGUGGGGAAAACUGAUUGGUUGGCUACAAGUACAGUAUUCCCUGGAACAGCUGCUUCGCUUCAGACCCAGCGGUGACGAAGAAGCAAUCUGUGACUGCCCGAUCGCAAAAAUCACUGAACACCAACCUACAACACACCCGGGUCGACGCCACAAUGGCCGCCUGCUCAUAUGUCGCAAGCAGGGUCGUCGCUCUAUUCCUGCUGUUACCAACAGGUUCCUCGGCGAACGGAGCUAACUUCAAAACCUCCAACUUGAUCGUGAACCUUCUGUCAUUUUAGGCCAAAGACAUAACUAACGACUCAUUUUAUGGUUUUUCUUUUCCUGUUAAUGAUUUUGUACAUAUUUGUUUUGUUUUGUUUUAAAGCCUGUUCAAGACUUUACGCAGUGAAGCCAAGUCAUAAUGUUUUGAAUAAAAAGCUCUAAAUUAUUAAAAAAGAA